AUGAAAACGAUGCAGGAUCCAAUUAAGAGGGAGCCUAAAAUCGGAUUGUAGUCCAAGAUCUGUAGGAUUAAUAAGGAGUAAUGAGGGCUGCUUUAGAAGGCUGUGGCACUUGCAAAUUGCGAUUCAUGUCUAGCACUAACCAAGAAUCCUUCUAUUUGCUGGUUUAAAGCAUAUAUGAAAACUGAGGUGUUAAUUACACUGUGAUAAACUUCUCAAAAUCAAGAGGGAGUACCUCCUCAUAGUUGAAGAUUCCCAGCUGAAGACUGACCAUGGUCUCUGCUGAAUCAGAGAGAGUUUUGUAAGAGCAGAGCUUCCAGCCAAAUAUCAAGUUUGUCUGCAAAGGAAAGAAGGUGUAUCUUGCAUCAUAAUCAGAGUCCUUGCCACAAAUCAGCUGAUGACUGAUAAUUCAGAGAAAGCUCUUCCAGUCUGUCAUCAGCCAUGAAGCUUUUCUGUCUUUUUGCUCUAUUGGAUUUCGUUGGUUUUUUUGUCUGUUUGUUUGUUUGCUUUGUCUACAGAGGUGUGCAUGAGCUGUAAGACAUUUUAUCCUGGAUUUAAGAAUCAUAGAAUUAUUUAUGUUGGAAAAAAGCUUUAAAAAAGACCAAUAAUUCUUUAAUCUCGUUAGAAUGAAAAUAACAAUUUAUUUGCAUCAUGAGUUUUACUAUAAUAGGCAUAAAAAUAAUUUCCCACCUAAAAAGAAGCCACACAGAAAAUCAUACUUUGUGCACUCUUCCCAGUUGGAGCUUUACCCCAAAAAUGACUUUUCCUGUACUUUGCUCUGUACUUAACACCUGUUACACUCAGAAAAUCCUUUUUUGUUGUUGUUGUUGUUGCCUCCAUCUUUGAUUUUUGUACUGAAUUUCAGAAUUUCAGUUUGCAAAGAAGGAAGCAAGUGGAUAUUUUAGCUGCCUUCACAUAUAUGGAAGAAUUAGAACCCAGUCUUCUACCCUAAGGUUUAGACAGGCAGCUUUAUUCAGUUUUACCUUUCAAAGACACAUUGCUUUCCCCAUUUGGAAACAAUUCAUUUAACCUGGCAGUACCUCAAUGCAGUCUGAAGACAAGAGAAACCACAGUCAUACUCACAGCAAUGGAGUAGGCGAGGAACAUGAUUGCAAUAACAGUGAUGAAUCCAGAGAUAUCACCCCAUGCUCUCCUUAGAGUGGAGGUGAUCAUGUUUAACUUAGGGUUGAGCCUCAAUAGAUGCCACAGUUUCACUGUGGAGAGAAGCACGAGGAAAGCAAUCAGGUAGCCAAGAACUGCAUCAGCUCUUGCUGUUUCAUUAAAGCUUACGGAGCUGUUAGAAACAAAGAAAAGAUGUAUUAGACCAUCACACAGAAGCCUGG
ensembl:lncRNA